rnacentral:ncRNA from 1 species
ACAACAGUUUUGAUGAGGACAUGAGUAUUAUUUUACGGUUCAAAGAGAGGGGAGUAGUAGCUGAGAGCUUCCUAACACGGAAAUAACACUUACCACCUCUGAACUUCAGUAGGGAAUUAAUAGUAUCUACUGACGGUUACAACCGUUAUUUUCUCAUGAGUCGCUUUUUCAUAAGUUGAAAAAAGUGGGAAACGAGAGACGAGAAGGUCAAGGAAGCGAAACUAUGAGCAACGAAGCGCAUAAUAAAUGCGUGAGUAGCAGACCAGUAAGCUGACAAAGAGAUUCGACGUCCGUCGUUACCAGAUUUUUGAACAUGAUUGGCGAGAAUGAGGGUGGAACCACGAGUCAGCACUCGUCCCUUUA